UUUCCCGUGUGUCUUCGUGGCUCUCAUUCCUUUCUUCUCAUCCGCGUGGCUCUCAUGCUUUUGUUCUCAUUCUUGGCCUGUUCUUGGUUUUGGGAGCACCGCUUCAGGAGUACAGCUUCAGUUCCUCGUUCUUCUUCUUAGAGCUAAUUCUCUCAUUCUUUACUUCGUUUACCUUAGACGGUGAGCAGAGUCUCUUUUUAGCUUUUAUUAUUCUUCUUAGUUUUCUUUGCCGGCUUUAGCAGACGUCUGUUUGGUUUCCACUUCAGCAAUGUAUCAUCUCCAGGUUCUCUGAUUAAUUGGCUCUGCUUAGUUGGCUUCAGCGCUCUGUGGUUUUGCAAGCGGUGUAUGAUUUCCAGGUUCUCUGCUUAAUUGGCUUUGCUAAAAAUUUCGUUUCCCAGUUACUUCAGCGCUUUGUGGUUUUGCAAGAUUAAUGCUUUAAGAAUGGGUCGGAAUAGAGUAUAUGGAAGUUUGGAGGAGGCCCAUGCUGAGAAAAAUUGAAGGAGCCGCGAGUGGCGUGCUGCUGCUCGUCGUGGAACAAAGAAUGAUGCGCCAUUAGGAGUGUGUACAUUAGCUGUCACAGCUUUUAAUAUACGUGACCCAAAUGCUAUGAAUCAGCCAAAUAUGGGUGCCACUGAAUCAUCAUUGGCAUCGGACUCAAUGCUCGCAUCUACAGAGAGUAUUGCAGAGCAAUUUGCGACUGAAAAUCAACGUGAUGUAUCUAGGCCCAUUGCUGAUGGUGUUAACAAGGUUCCACCAACUAAUUUAGAUAUUGGUGAACCAUCACUGCGUGAGCAACGUCGAUCUACAAAACGCUCUGUGAUUGAUCCAUUAACCAAGAUAGCAACAGAGCCUAUAGUAUUGCCUGAUGUUCCAAGUUGUCCGUAUUGUCAUGCAAAACGAUUUCAUUAGGAACCGCCUGCUUUUUGCUGUGCCUCUGGUGAGAUACAGCUAUUACCUACUGAGAUGCCGAGAGAACUUAUGCUAUUAUAUAUGGAAGACUCUGAUGAGGCUGCCGAGUUUCGCAGAUGUGUUAGAAGCGAUAAUAACAUGUUUGCAUUCACUUCGAUUGGUAUCCAUGCUGAUAAAUCUUUGGCUGCAAAUUACAAUGGAGUUUAUACAUUUCGAAUCCAGGGACAAAUAUACCAUUAUAUUAAUCCACUUAUUCCAGAGGAUGGUGAGAAGCCACGGAACUUGUAGCUUUAUUUUUUUGACACUGACCAUGAAACAACGCAGCGGCUAUCAAUCUCAAGUAGAUUUCGAGAAACACUGGUGACAAAGCUUGAGGAAAUCUUAAAGAUCAAUCCUUACUCUGCAUUUUUUUCGAGGAUUACAAGAUUUGCCAGACAUAGAUGAUUAAAAGAUUGUGCUUAAUACUACGCCUACUGUAGAUCAGCGAGUUCUCAAUAAACCUACUGUGUCACAAGUAGGAGCUGUUUGGACUGAGAGUACAAAUUUUGAACAUCUUAACUCUAAACAUAUACAAAUUUAUGGAAAGAAUGGUCAAACACAGAUUAUUAAGCGUUAUUUUGCUUGUCAUGGUUCAUUGCAAUAUCCUCUUGACAUUAAAGAUUAAUUGUCCUGUUAUGUUGAUUCGAAACAUUAACCCUACUGAAGGCCUAUCUAAUGGCACCCGACUGAUAUGCAAAGAAUUUGGAAACAAUGUAAUACAUGCAGAGAUUGCAUGUGGUUCUUUUACAGGUAAGCGUGUUUUUAUUCCCAGAGUUCCUUUGCAAACUUCUGUUGAUGAUUUCUGUUCAGUCCCUUUUAAAAGAACACAGUUCCCUCUAAGAUUAUGUUUUACAAUGACAAUUAAUAAACCACAAGGACAAACGUUGGAUUAUGUUGGUCUAUAUCUAAAAGAACCUGUUUUCUCCCAUGGCCAAUUAUAUGUUACAUUAUCACGUGGUAAAACGUCAAGUACUGUCAAAGUAUUAAUACGACCUCCAACUCUAUUUUCUGCAGUCAUGAAUGAUGAAUGAGUUCGUGCCAGUAAUUCAUGCUCGCAUAGAGUAAGAACCAGGAACUUUAGGAAAUGUCUGAUGUUUUGGCUCAGCAUGAUCCAGCACUGGCAAAUGCCUUGAUCGUAUGAUUGUUAUUUAACAUGUUUGAUGGUAUGAGUGCAACAAAAAAUAUACAUUCCAAUGAAGGAAAAGGAGAAGCAAACUGUUGAGCUAGAGGUCCACAAUCAGAGAAUGUUCAAAACCGAGUUGUGCAACAAAUAACAAGAGACCAAGGAAUGUCCCUAUGAAGAGAACUAUCAAUUUGCUCAUGGAAUUAAGGAGCUGCACCCUGUACUUUGAAUACUAGGCUGACGUGGUUUUUUCCCCUACUUAUCUUUCUCAAUUUGAUUGUUAUUCCUUUUUGGUGUAAAGUUUUUUUUUUGGAUUUUGGACUGUGGAUUUUCUUCCAUUUUAUACAACCAAGCAUGAAUUGAUUGAAAUUAUAUGAAAGUUUGAAUUUUAUGAUGCCAAGCAAUGUUAUGCAUAGAAAUUUAUUAGUUAAACAAAAUAUUGAUUCUUGGACUCCAAAAAAAAUUGAAUCAAUUUUAAAGAUUUGAUUAUUGGUCUUGAUAGUGACUCGAUUGGUAAGCUGUUUGGAAAAGCUUAUUUCCUUCCUAGCCUGUUUUUUGUCCUAAAAAUUUUGCCAAGUUUGAAACCCAACCAUAGCUAAAGUUGAUAAGUUGAUUAAACUUAAUAGCCGUCUUAUUGUUUAGGGAUGAAAUUGAUUUGUACCGUGACCUUUGUUAUGUCUGGAUUAUUUAUUUUAUUUCCAGUUUUUUUAAUUCUUUUCAAUAUGAUUUAAUAGAAAGCUUCAGUCAUGGGUUUGGCCUAAUUUUUUUCAAUUUUGAUCACUAGAAUUACAGUUUACUUAGUUUUAAGGUUCCUAACAAAUUUCUUGUAUUAUCUAAGAAUUUAAGUAAAACUCAUCUCCAGUAUCUUCGAUACUUCCAAGUGUGGUGUUAUUCAGCUCAAUAGUGGCUUCGCUCAAACUCCUCAGAUGAGGUACAAGUUACAUUCAUAGUAUCAUCCUUUCUGGAAUGCUUUUUUGUCUCUAUCUAGCUAUUGAUAUUGGUGGGAAGUCUGUCUAUUGAAAUAUGGGAAUGUAUCUAUAGUGUUGCUGGGAGACCAUACGGAACAUUUAUUAUAGGGCAUUUUCCUUUGUUCAAAUUUUGAUAGAUAACUAGCUGAACUUCCUAAUUACUUCUCUGUUGGUUUCACUUUGUACACUCAGGCCUUCAUGGAAAAAUCUUUCUCAAUACAAAAGGGGAUAUAGCAUAUAUAGGUAUUGCUGUUAAUCCUGAUACCUGAACAAAGUCCGCCGAUUCAGGAAGUGAUCCAAGCUGGUGUUGUCCCUCGUUUUGUUCAUUAUCUUAUUACGGAGGAUUUCCUCAACUUCAGCUUCAAGCUCAUUAUUCCCCAUCCUGCGUACAAAAUGAAGAUUAUAUUUGUUUGGUGUUACGUAUAAAUAUCUUUUUCCAUCCUUUGCAAAUUUGUAGUUUGAGGCAGCUUGGGCUCUCACAAACAUUGCUUCCGGGACAUCUAUGCACACUAAGGUUGUAAUAGACAUUGGUGUUGUUCCCAUAUUCGCACAGCUUCUUAGUUCUCCCAGCGAUGAUGCCCGUGAACAGGCUGUAUGGGCUCCGUGAAAUGUGGUUGGUGAUUCCCCAAAAUGCCGUGAUCUUGUUCCUGGUCAUGGAGCUCUAGGUCCUUUGCUGGCUUAGCUAAAUGAGCAUGCAAACUAUCAUUGUUGCGAAAUGCCACGUGGACACUAUCUAAUUUCUGCAGAGGCAAGUUUUAGCCAUUUUUGACAAGGUAUUACAUUCAGCUUGAAUGUCUGUUCAUCUCACAGCUCUUUCAAUUCUACAGGAUUAUUUGCAUGCUUUGCUCUUUCAAAGCUUUUUUCGUCUAUAGUGGAUGCUAGAGUAGUCCACAUGUCCCUCAUAAGAAAUUGCUUUGACACCCCCCUAUCCAUGUUUGCCACAUUCUUGUGCUAUGAGAUAUUAAGUAGUUGCUACAUUCUUAACUUCCUCCAUCUUGUUCUGUGGUCAACUGAUUGAUUCACAACCAAUCUUGUUAUAAGAUGUAUACUUAUGCUUCCUGAUAAUAUAUAUAUAUUUUUUGUAAACUAUAACAAAAGAUUAUAUGCUAGCCCACUAUAGCUGUUAUGUAUAUAUAUUUUUUCAGAAACGGUAGGAAUUGUAUUAAUGAUUUAAAGCUUUACAUUUGUUGAGCAAAGGCUCCUAAAAGG